rnacentral:lncRNA from 1 species
GCUAGUCACGUACAGAAAAACAACUGUUAUGGAUUUGUCUAACAGUUUUGGUUACAAUUGAAACAAGGAAGUUGUUAACAUUUAUAGCACAUUUUCUGUUGUUUGUUCUCUAAUAUUUAGUUUCAUGUGUUUAAACUUGAUGCUUUGUUUAUAUAUAUUUCAAAAUGAUAGUGAAUAUGACCACGCGAACGUGCAGUAGAAAAAUAUAUUGUCCUUUUAAAUUGUUUAUUAUAAAUUAUGACACAUUAAAACAUACAACAUUAUACAUUAAAUAAAUUAUUGUUCUAUUUAAUUCCGCGUAUUGCAAUGCAUCACUCAGCAUGAACAAUCAGUAUUCGAGCUGGCUGAAAUUUUGUUGUGUACAUGAUAUUGGUAACGCAACUUUGAUUCAUUUGAUGUAAGUUCAUGGAUAUUUUCAAUCCAUUGAUGACGUGUAGACAGCUCUACGUACCAACUGCACAAUUAUUUUAUCAAUAUAUAUGUUAUAGGUAAAUAGUGUUCGAAUCUGUCUGUAUUGCUUGAUGUGAUUUAUUGACACGAUCUGCAAUCAGUAUGGAAUACGGCCAAACGCUUGAUACAAAACAUCUAUACACAAACUAAUGUAUAUGUGUCUUCAAUUACACGUUAAAGAAUCACUAAUUAUCAGUAAUCUGAAUGAAUAUUAUGCAUUAUCUUGUAAGGAUAAAAAUACGUUGACAAAGGCUUUAACUCAUAUGUAUUUAGUCAUAAAAUAAAGAGCAUCCAAACAUAACAUUCUGCAAUAGGCAUGACAUAUAUUAGAAAAGCAUGUGUACUAAUUAUCAUGGAUAUUAACUUUAUCCAUUUUACAGGUUGAAGUAUGGUACUGAAAUGUAAACAACACUGGAAUUGUAGAUCGAGAGGUAAGCAUAACGUGUAGAUUUGAAUAUUUUAACAAAUAUGUUGACAGUUGCAUAUUGCGUAGGUGUUUUAUAAAAUGAACUAUGAUGUUUGAACAAGUACUUCGUUGUCUGAGAUAUUUUCAGUGCAUACAGAUACUUUUGUGAAAUAGGAAAAUUAUUCCGAUAGUUUAUUAUUCUUUAAUAUAAUUAUAAAUUGGGAAAAAUGCACCUCACUACAUUUCAUUUGAAACUAUAAUAAUAUCUUCAUGUAUUUUAAACAAUUUAUGUUGGAAUUGUUCAGGUCAGUGCAUUAACUAUUUUGAAUAUAAAGCUAUGCAUUUCAUUUAAAUAAAUAUUGCUUGUAAUGCUUGUCUUUAUUUUUGUAGGACAUAACGUACUCAUUAUUGAUAUUGUAUAGAUGACAACGCCAAUCUAUCGAAACGUUAUCUGAGUUUUUUUUAAAGUAUUACAUGGUAGGUUUAUAUCACUAUAUGUAUAGUAAACAACCUCAUCAGCUCUGUUACACAAUUACUUUACUUUUAAAAGCAUACAAUGAUCAAUUCUGCAUUAAUUAGACAGUUUUCCUAAAUCAAAACUUGUAUUUGAGUAGAAGAGCAAAACAAUACAGACGGAAAGUAGACGUAAUCGAGGUAUAUUUAAUUGUAUGAAUGAUUUUUGUAUUUUUGUUUGCCUGAAUCUUAUUUUCACAAAACAUAAAAUAAUACAAACUACCAGAAAUACGACCGAUUAUCAAUGUGUGCAAUGAAUAUAUAAAUCAACUACAAUCAUCACAAUUUGUAUUCGUAUCUGUAUUUAUGAAAUAAGAAUAUGUUGUAUGAUUGUCAAUGAUACAUCUCUCCACAAGAGACCAACAUGACACAGAAAUAGGUCAACGUACGGCCUUCAACAAUGAACAAAGCCCACUGUAUUGAUAUCCCUUCUUUUAGAAAUGGAGCAUGAUGGACACAUGUUUGCUGCAACUGCUGAUUAGUCUGACUGAAAUGCGUAUUGUAUUUCUACGUACGUGUAAUCUAAUGUACAAUGCUAUACAAUUGAUAAAAGUGGGUGAUACAUCCAUUAAACUUAACGUCUUAAAACAAAAGUAUUUCAAAAGUUGUAAUUGAUUUAAUUGAUAUGCAGAAACAGAUGAAUUUCUAAAACAACUUGGAACAAAAACAAAAGUGUUUAAACUGACGAAAUGAUAGGACGUUUAAAUAUUUCAAUUUUAAAUCACGAGUGAUCAAGGAAUGCACGACUUACACAAUCAACUAUCGCACACUCCUUCAGUAAACACAAGGUUUCCAAAGUCAUGAAUAUUGCAUCAGGAGACAAUAGACAAUAUAUUUGAACAACCAUGAUAUUUCAAAGCUUAUAUACAAGAUUUUGACAUAUGUACUUUAAUUCCUUUUCAAAUGGUACAACUAUCUAUUGUAGACAGUGUUUUUUUCCCGAGAACUUACCACUUGAAUGCCAACUAUUAGAAAAAGAAGCCUUUCACUGGCUAACACGUCGUCCAGGAAAAUAUGGUGCGAUUUGGAUGUAAUCAAGGACACGCCAAAUCUAAAAGGAAUGUGUGGCCUUAAGAUCAAUUCAAACAAAUUCAGGAAAUGUUUUCAUUCAUCAAAUUCCCCUCUGUAUUGAACAAUUUUAAACAAGUGUAUGUGUAGUCGGCCAUUUACUGUACAACUUUCAGAUAAUUUAGAUCUCAUUAUAUUGUGUAACAAGUUGCAGUUUUGAUAUGUUUUUUGAUGAUUUUUUUCUAUAUAUAUUUAGAUCAAACCUGUUUUAAAAGCUAUAUGAGAAUAUAUGUUAAAUGCCGUAACUUCGAAAAAAAUAAAUUAUCAAAUGUAUUUAGCUUGAUCUGUUUAUUAUGAAAACUGCAUUUUUAAUUAACCAAAAUUAUAAUCUGACUGCUUACGUAUGUUUGACAUAGCUGUUUCGAAGGCGUCAUUCAUGUCAUUUAUAUCUUAA